UCCAGUUACAUGGGAGUAGGAGAAACAAUAGGUUACCUAAAAGCAGUUCUAAUGUGUAGCGCUGGCUCUUUCUGGAAGCUCAGACUCAGCACAAUGCACUGAGAUGGCUACCUACACACAAGUAUUACAGCUAAAUAAAUACAUUUGUUAGUUCAAGAAUAACAUUUUAAAUGGUAGAGUGAAUUAUUUGCUAUGUAAACGGUGUAAUUUAGAAAUAAGAAGUACACCAUAAAAAUCAUGACAAAUCCCUUUAAGAAGCCUGAUAAGAUUUUGCAACACAAAUGGAGGCUUUGGCUCAUAAUGUCUGAAAACCUCACAUUUAAGCACCCUAAAUGGUUCACAUUUGCAGUAGAAUUGUUUAUCUUUGAAUAGCUUUUAACAUUUAUCUGUCAAAAAUGUUAUGCAUUUUUAUUUUGAAAACUCCUUAAAGUAAAUACUGUAUUUGUCUAUCCCAACGCAUACCAGAGUACAUGGGCAUUAUUAUAAAUUGAAUAUGCCAAUGAUUGCAAUCCAGUCAUCCAUCCAUGCAGUCUUGCUCAGGUUAAGAAAUUAGCACAAGUAUGGGACCUGUUAUUUGCUUAUAACGGAGUCUAUAGGAGAUGUUGGUCCUGUAAUUUGGAACUUUCUGGAUAACGGGUUUCCAGAUAAUGGAUCCCAUACCUGUACUGCCUUUGUUUUUAAGUGGAAUGGCUGUUCAGUCCUCCUAGGCUGAUGCUGCACGCUAUUGGUUUUUCAGGAAUAAUUAAUGUCUAGGCCGUUUACAAUGUAAUGUUAAAUAUUUGUUAAUAUUUUUAUGUAAAGAUCUUAAAUAAAAUGUAUGUGGAUUAAAUAAAAAGAAUGUGUCGAAAUUGUUUGUGUUGUUCUUGAUUACAACAAAACAUGGAAACAUGAAUGAAUAAUGUUAUGUUACUGAAGAGUCUCCCUGAUUUCUGUUAGUACUUAAAGAUUCUGUCCUGUACUGGAAUUCUGUGGCUUCUUGCCAAGCUCACAUCCUUCUUUAUUUCUUUACUGUUUUGUUAAUCCAUUUAAAAAGAACCAGAGGGAAAAGGGAAAAAGCCAACAGUGACUUCUCUGGACAAAUAUCAACCUUUAAAGCUGCUAGCUCUCUAAAAACUCAAUGAGUUAUAACCCGAGUUCUCCAAUAAUAUCAAAGAGAUACACUAGAUGACUGAGAUAUUGACCUACAAUCAGUUUCUAUCAGGCCCCGACUGGCGAUCUGUUAGUUCUGGCAAAUGCCAGAGGAGGAGUGUGUGUGGCACAUACCACUGACAUGAGCCUAGUGAACCACAUGCAGACUUAUUGACAGUGAAUGAUCAGCACGGUGGAAGCGAUACCUUUCAUAGUAAUAAAAACAUGCUGUUUUAUGGAAGCCCAGAAUUACAGUGGAAUUAAGGGGUAAAACUGCAUUGUGACCAAAAUACAUAGCUAUAUGGUUUAGUGCUCAUGGAUCUUUUAAUAAACCUUUUUGCUUUCCUCAGCUUUAGGUACAAGGCAAUAAUAACUUAGGCCCAAUGUAGCACUGUGCUUUAUAACUAGCACUGACCAGACAGUAAAAAAAGUGUGGCUGAUUUUUGCUAAAUUGUGUUUUUCACAACAAUAUUUUUCUUUCUAAAUAGGUGCGUCUUCUCUAUUUGGCAUGUCUGGAAACUCUGUCAGGGCUGGCUGAGAUGUACGUAUGAUUACAUAACCAGAAUAGAGGAAGCAAAAAUGGACCGACACAGAACCACACCAAGUUACUACGGGUGAAGAGAAGAGAUUGGAUACAAACAGGAACAGGGAACUCUGGCAGGAACUGCCCUGCGAUCUAUCCAGAAAGACACCCAAGAGAGCAUCACCAUCAGGGUUGCUGGGAAGUAUGUUUGUAGGAGAAAGAAGAAGAUGUGGCGCCAUAAUGUAAAGUUGAUGCACAUCCUAGAUUAAAACAAAAGCACACAUGUCCAUGAAAAAAAAAACAAAGGAGGCAUAGAGCUAGCUAAACAGGGCCAAACAAAUAACCAUAGCCCUAAUAACCAUGAAAGCCCUAAAAAUGCUGCAUAUUGACGUAUAUUGUAAGCUUAAUGGGGCAGGCCCUCUAACCUCAUGUCUUGGUUUAUAUCUGAUUGUGACACUGCAAAAUCAUGUGACUGUAAAAAAUAUUAUAGCCCUUGCAUUGCAUGUGUUUUAUCUAAGACACUGCAGUUCUGUAAUUAUGAGUGUACAUAGCCUUUCUGGUCAUCAACAGAUGACCAACAAUAAUUUUUGAUUGUUAUAAUUCUCCAAGUCCCUAAGUAAUUCCUAAGACUCAUUUUUUAGCAGAGUUAAUGGUGAUUUGACUCCUUUAAGAUGCAGAUAUAAACUCCUGCAUCUUAAAGGAAUCAAAUAGUUUUUUUGCCAUCAUGCUUGAGGUAGGAAGCUAAGGAGGAGGGGUAAAUACUUUGAUGGCCAUCCCGCCUCCUAAUUGAAUAAAAGCAUUGACCCCCUAUCAUCCUCUGUGCUGCCUAGGAAUGUACUGAGAUUUUUUUAUACACCAUAUUGUACUUAUUAGGCCGCUUUUACACGUGGAACUUGGGGCAACCCAUUGAAGACAAUGAAACAAAUUCAUGUGACAAAGAGUUUCUGGCUUAAAGCGUACAGGAACACUUGUGUGCACAGAACACCAUGGCAAUAAAUUGGUGAUGUAAAUGGAAUUCUAAUUUCACUUUAUGAAAAUGCAUUUUAGUUUGUAAGAACUUUUGAUUUAUUUCAGGACCACAUAUUCCAGUUUUUCUAUUUCCAAGCACAUAAUUUUAGUGCAGACGGCCAUUACUUCUACAUUUAUAACAUGCUGACUAAUGAUGCAUGAAAUUUUUUAUUUAUUUUUUAUUGAUAGAAGAUAUUGUUUAAUCUGUGGCUGAAUUUAACUUCCAGUUUUACACUCUGAAGCUGUAAAUAUGGUGUGAACCCAGAAGAGAGUAAAUCCUGGCUUAUAUUAACUCUUCACUGGAUUUUUAAACCAUUAAAUGUCUCCUGUUUCAGUUAUCUAGGAUUAACCAUUUCACAAGGGUUUAACUAUAAAUUAGGACUGCUAAUUGUGCAGUCUAUUUUCAUAGAAAAUUCACAAAAUGUUAAUUUUUCUUGCAAUUUGAAGCGAAACUCAAUAAAUUUGUUCAUCACUAAUACUGACCAAUUAUAUUGGCAAAGUGUAUUAAUGUGAUCAUUUC